GGGCUCGCUUUGGCAGCACAUAUACUACAAUUGGAGCGAUACAGAGAAGAUUAGCAUGGCCCCUGCGCAAGGAUGACACGCAAAUUUGUGAAGCGUUCCAUAUUUAA
rnacentral:snRNA from 1 species